GAUGAACGCUGGCGGCGUGCCUAAUACAUGCAAGUCGAGCGAACGGACGAGAAGCUUGCUUCUCUGAUGUUAGCGGCGGACGGGUGAGUAACACGUGGAUAACCUACCUAUAAUACUGGGAUAACUUCGGGAAACCGUAGCUAAUACCGGAUAAUAUUUUGAACCGCAUGGUUCAAAAGUGAAAGGCGGUCUUGCUGUCACUUAUAGAUGGAUCCGCGCUGCAUUAGCUAGUUGGUAAGGUAACGGCUUACCAAGGCAACGAUGCAUAGCCGACCUGAGAGGGUGAUCGGCCACACUGGAACUGAGACACGGUCCAGACUCCUACGGGAGGCAGCAGUAGGGAAUCUUCCGCAAUGGGCGAAAGCCUGACGGAGCAACGCCGCGUGAGUGAUGAAGGUCUUCGGAUCGUAAAACUCUGUUAUUAGGGAAGAACAUAUGUGUAAGUAACUGUGCACAUCUUGACGGUACCUAAUCAGAAAGCCACGGCUAACUUCGUG
rnacentral:rRNA from 1 species